rnacentral:lncRNA from 1 species
UCUUCUCUUAUGUUGCUCCCUGCAGACUUCUCUAUUUCCAGCGCCAUUCGUUAUUGGAUGUGAAUAGAGCUGGUGUGCUUUGUAGGUUCUCUCUUUCUUUCUGGAGCUUUGGUGUGUUCUCUGUUAGAUGCUCUCACUAUCUUGUAGUUGUGCAAAGGACUAUGAUUUCAUAGUAGGAUUCUUUUGACAAUUGGGUUGUGUUGAAGUGUGUUCGUCGGAGGUCUUUAUGUCAGUGUUGUUUUGCUUUGCUUUUGUAUUGGUAACAGACUUUCUUAUUAGUCC